GACGUAGGGCGCGAGCGUUGUCCGGAUUUAUUGGGCGUAAAGAGCUCGUAGGCGGCUCGUUGCGUCGGCUGUGAAAACCCGCGGCUCAACCGUGGGCUUGCAGCUGAUACGGGCGGGCUGGAGUUCGGUAGGGAAGACUGGAAUUCCUGGUGUAGCGGUGAAAUGCGCAGAUAUCAGGAGGAACACCGGUGGCGAAGGCGGGUCUCUGGGCCGAUACUGACGCUGAGGAGCGAAAGCGUGGGGAGCGAACAGG
rnacentral:rRNA from 1 species